GAGUUUGAUCCUGGCUCAGAUUGAACGCUGGCGGCGUGCUUAACACAUGCAAGUCGAACGCGAACGGGGCUUCGGCCCCAAGUAGAGUGGCGCACGGGUGAGUAACGCGUGGACAAUCUGCCCUUAUGACUGGAAUAACAGUUGGAAACGGCUGCUAAUACCGGAUACGCUCAGGAAGAACUUUUUGAGGAAAGGCGGCCUCUGCUUGCAAGCUGUCGCAUAAGGAUGAGUCCGCGUCCCAUUAGCUAGUUGGCGGGGUAACGGCCCACCAAGGCAACGAUGGGUAGCCGAUUUGAGAGGAUGAUCGGCCACACUGGGACUGAAACACGGCCCAGACUCCUACGGGAGGCAGCAGUGGGGAAUAUUGCGCAAUAGGCGAAAGCCUGACGCAGCGACGCCGCGUGAGGGAUGAAGGUUUUCGGAUCGUAAACCUCUGUCAGAAGGGAAGAAACUGCCGUGCUCUAAUCAUCAUGGCAUUGACGGUACCUUCAAAGGAAGCACCGGCUAACUCCGUGCCAGCAGCCGCGGUAC
rnacentral:rRNA from 1 species